GGGCCCGCACAAGCGGCGGAGCAUGUGGAUUAAUUCGAUGCAACGCGAAGAACCUUACCUGGGUUUGACAUGCACUAGACGCUGCCAGAGAUGGUAGUUCCCUUGUGGUUGGUGUGCAGGUGGUGCAUGGCUGUCGUCAGCUCGUGUCGUGAGAUGUUGGGUUAAGUCCCGCAACGAGCGCAACCCUCGUUCCAUGUUGCCAGCGGGUUAUGCCGGGGACUCAUGGGAGACUGCCGGGGUCAACUCGGAGGAAGGUGGGGAUGACGUCAAGUCAUCAUGCCCCUUAUGUCCAGGGCUUCACACAUGCUACAAUGGCCUAUACAGAGGGCUGCGAGACCGUGAGGUGGAGCGAAUCCCUUAAAGUAGGUCUCAGUUCGGAUCGGGGUCUGCAACUCGACCCCGUGAAGUUGGAGUCGCUAGUAAUCGCAGAUCAGCAACGCUGCGGUGAAUACGUUCCCGGGCCUU
rnacentral:rRNA from 1 species